rnacentral:rRNA from 1 species
UACGGGGGGAGCAAGCGUUGUUCGGAUUUACUGGGCGUAAAGGGCGCGUAGGCGGUCGUGACAAGUCACUUGUGAAAUCUCCGGGGCUUAACUCGGAACGGUCAAGUGAUACUGUCGGACUAGAGUACAGAAGGGGCAACUGGAAUUCUCGGUGUAGCGGUGAAAUGCGUAGAUAUCGAGAGGAACACCUGCGGCGAAGGCGGGUUGCUGGGCUGAUACUGACGCUGAGGCGCGAAAGCCAGGGGAGCGAACGGG